UACGUAGGGGGCAAGCGUUGUCCGGAUUUAUUGGGCGUAAAGAGCGUGUAGGCGGCCAUACAGGUCCGUUGUGAAAACUGGAGGCUUAACCUCCAGACGUCGAUGGAAACCGUAUGGCUAGAGUCCGGAAGAGGAGAGUGGAAUUCCUGGUGUAGCGGUGAAAUGCGCAGAUAUCAGGAUGAACACCCGUGGCGAAGGCGGCUCUCUGGGACGGUACUGACGCUGAGACGCGAAAGCGUGGGGAGCGAACAGG
rnacentral:rRNA from 1 species